rnacentral:tRNA from 1 species
GUGGUGGUAGUGUAGUGGCUAUGGAGCUGGCAUGGAGUAGCCAGAAACGUUGUGGGUUCAAUUCUCAGCUGCCACC